rnacentral:rRNA from 1 species
CCUACGAGGGGCAGCAGUGAGGAAUAUUGGUCAAUGGACGAGAGUCUGAACCAGCCAAGUCGCGUGAAGGAUGACUGCCCUAUGGGUUGUAAACUUCUUUUAUAUGGGAAUAAAAUGCUCCACGUGUGGGAUUUUGUAUGUACCAUAUGAAUAAGGAUCGGCUAACUCCGGGCCAGCAGCCGCGGUAAUACGGAGGAUCCGAGCGUUAUCCGGAUUUAUUGGGGUUAAAGGGUGCGUAGGUGGAUUGGUAAGUCAGUUGUGAAAGUUUGUGGCUCAACCGUAAAAUUGCAGUUGAAACUGUCGGACUGGAGUACAGGAGAGGUAGGCGGAAUGCGUGGUGUAGCGGUGAAAUGCUUAGAUAUCACGAAGAACUCCGAUUGCGAAGGCAGCUCACUGGACUGCAACUGACGCUGAGGCUCGAAAGUGUGGGUAUCAAACAGGAUUAGAUACCCUUGUAGUC